AGCGGCGGACGGGUGAGUAACGCGUGGGUAACCUGCCUCAUACAGGGGGAUAACAGUUGGAAACGGCUGCUAAUACCGCAUAAGCGCACAGUACCGCAUGGUACCGUGUGAAAAACUCCGGUGGUAUGAGAUGGACCCGCGUCUGAUUAGCUAGUUGGUAAGGUAACGGCUUACCAAGGCGACGAUCAGUAGCCGACCUGAGAGGGUGACCGGCCACAUUGGGACUGAGACACGGCCCAA
rnacentral:rRNA from 1 species